rnacentral:lncRNA from 1 species
GGACUGCGUUUUUUCCGAACGCCAGCAGCAGGGUCAGAAGGGAGGUAGUCGCCCUCCGUCGUGGCCUGGCGUGGAUUCCGAGCGUUGGUGUCUGGCGGUUUCCGACCGUUGGUGUCUGGCACGCGCCACCCCGAUGUACCAGACAAGAAGACAAGAAAAUGAUUUGAGGACAGCUUCAAUCGCGGUGUGAAGAAGAAAGCAACAAAACGACCACUGAAAACAAUGCCGGUGGCAAAACAUCCAAAGAAAGGGUCCCAAGUGGUACAUCGUCAUAGCUGGAAACAGUCAGAGCCACCAGCCAAUGAUCUUUUCAAUGCUGCGAAAGCUGCCAAAAGUGACAUGCAGGAUUUCUGACAGGACUCUGGGCCCCUCCCCAGCUCCACUCCCUACCUCAAGAAUGUGACCAUUUGGAAAAGGCAAAGAGAAAAGGAGCAAAAUGAAGCAUUCCCCCAGGCUUCAGCCCUGGGCUCUGAGGGGAAAGAGUGGGGCAUUGUUUUUCUAACCUAACCUUUCCCUCUGGUGAUGUUGGGGUAGAGAAGCCGAGAGACCCUGUCCUCCCUAAUGCACUGUGGCCCAGUCCCCUUGCCUUUUUCCUGUUCUGUUUGGAGUGGAGAAGGGCAGCACCUCUGUGUUUAAUGGAAGUAGCCCAUAGUCUCCUGGAUUUUUGGAACAUCUUUUUCAGCCUAUUUUGUGUCCUAAUGAUUCACUCAAUAAACAUGUUUGAAUCCA